AUUGAACGCUGGCGGCAUGCCUAACACAUGCAAGUCGAACGGCAGCACAGCAGUAGCAAUACUGUGGGUGGCGAGUGGCGGACGGGUGAGGAAUACGUCGGAAUCUGCCCAGUCGUGGGGGAUAACUAGCCGAAAGGUUAGCUAAUACCGCAUACGACCGAGAGGUGAAAGCGGGGGACCGCAAGGCCUCGCGCGAUUGGAUGAGCCGACGUCGGAUUAGCUAGUUGGCGGGGUAAAGGCCCACCAAGGCGACGAUCCGUAGCUGGUCUGAGAGGAUGAUCAGCCACACUGGAACUGAGACACGGUCCAGACUCCUACGGGAGGCAGCAGUGGGGAAUAUUGGACAAUGGGCGCAAGCCUGAUCCAGCAAUGCCGCGUGUGUGAAGAAGGCCUCGGUUGUAAGCACUUUAUCAGGACGAAAAGACGUUGGAUUAAUAACUCUGACGUGCUGACGGUACCGU
rnacentral:rRNA from 1 species